GCUAGGUGUGGUGGUGUGUGCCUGUAGUCCUAGCUACUGCGGAGGCUGAGGUGGGAGGAUCUUAAGCCCAGGAGUUCGAGGCUGCAGUGCGUUAAGAAGGUGCCACUGCACUCCUGCCUGGGCAACAGAGUGAGAUCCCAUCUCUU
rnacentral:sRNA from 1 species